UCUGCCGGUUUUCUUAGCAUGCAAUCAUCUCAAAAUCUGCAGGAUGAAUUGGAUAGAUGUUUAAGGUUGUGUGUGGACAGUGACAACCAGAGGAAGCUGUUACAAACGACAAUUCAUCAUCCACAGUGCCUAAAAUAUCCACCAUCUAUAAGAUACAGGAAGAUGUUUUUGAAGCUUAUAAUUGCAAAGCUUGAGGAGAGUGAAAUGGACAUUGCGGAUGAACUCUAUGAAGCCUUCACUGAUGUCAUUUCCAUCCCCAGUGAGGAACAGUACUGCUAUAAAACUUAUACCCUGCCGAGUGGAGACAUGGUAACUCUUGAGGAGUCGGUCAGUCUGGUAUCACAGGGAACUACAGGUUUACAGACUUGGCAAGCAGCAAUGCAUCUUGCAGAAUUCCUACUUGAAAAUGGCAAGUUGAUAUAUAACAGGAGUGUGAUAGAACUUGGUUGUGGCCUUGGAUUUACUGGCAUCAUCGCCUGUCGGAGCUUGCAGCCAACUUCUUACGUUUUCACUGACUGUCACCAAGAGGUACUCAAAAGGCUAAAGAAAAACCUCCAAAUUAAUGAACUUUUUUGUGACGAUGAAUUAAGUAAAGAAAAAGAGGAGCGGAAUAUUUGUGAUCAUUGUGAUAGUUUGGAAGUCAAUAAUCUAAGGACUGACAAGAAAUGUGUAGCGCAGUGUCAUGGAGCUAAUGUUGCUGAUGUGGUGCAGUUGGACUGGAAUGACCUCUGUGAAGACGUAUUAAAAGAUAGAUUACGGUGUGAUGUGGUGCUAGCUGCUGAUGUUAUCUAUGAUCCAAGUAUAAUCGCCAACCUUCUCAACAUACUGUCAAUCCUUUUGUCUGAUGGUGCUGUGGCAUAUUUGGCAUCAACAAUAAGGAAUGUAGGAACGUAUGAUGCCUUCCUUUCUGCAAUGGGAAAUUGUAUGUCAUGUUACAAGUGCUGCACCAAAUGCGUGUGUGACUGUUUCGACCAUUCCUCCGAGGAACAUGGAUGAUAAAGCGUGGUUGAAGGCCAAGCAGAUCAACAAGGCUAUCAAGGCAUUGAAGAUGACUUAUGUGGUGAAGAUAUGCAAUGUUUGUCGUGUUUUCUGUAGAGGCCGUGGGCAGAAAGAUAGCAGCCAGGAUGAAAGGCCAGCGAAAACAGACUUGGUUAGCCGCAAUGAUGGAUUGCACCCGACUUUGGAAGGAAGCAAGGUGUUGACACAGCUUGUGAAGAUUGCUCUCAAGCUACCAGGGGCUCGUACAUCGAAAGUUGAAGAUGUGGUUGUUCAAUAUCCAUAUUCGGUCUGCCAGGUGUGCAGGGCAGCAGGACAUGGUUCUGGAAAUUGUCAGCAGUUUUGGUACAAGUGAAGACUAGACUUGGGUGUUUUUAUGUGGAUGUGGUGAUUAUGAUGGUACAUGUACUUGUAUUGUUGACCUAAUCACUGGUGAAUGGUAAUAAAUCUGAAAUUAUUUUCAA